rnacentral:rRNA from 1 species
UACGGAGGAGCUAGCGUUGUUCGGAAUUACUGGGCGUAAAGCGCACGUAGGCGGCUUUGUAAGUUAGAGGUGAAAGCCCGGGGCUCAACUCCGGAACUGCCUUUAAGACUGCAUCGCUUGAAUCCAGGAGAGGUGAGUGGAAUUCCGAGUGUAGAGGUGAAAUUCGUAGAUAUUCGGAAGAACACCAGUGGCGAAGGCGGCUCACUGGACUGGUAUUGACGCUGAGGUGCGAAAGCGUGGGGAGCAAACAGG